GUGCACUUAGCUCAGUGGUUAGAGCACCCUUCUAGAGUGGGGGAAAAUAGGUCAUGGGUUCAAGUCCCAUAGUGCACA
rnacentral:tRNA from 1 species